GAUUGAACGCUGGCGGCAGGCCUAACACAUGCAAGUCGAGCGGUAGAGAGGUGCUUGCACCUCUUGAGAGCGGCGGACGGGUGAGUAAUGCCUAGGAAUCUGCCUGGUAGUGGGGGAUAACGUCCGGAAACGGACGCUAAUACCGCAUACGUCCUACGGGAGAAAGCAGGGGACCUUCGGGCCUUGCGCUAUCAGAUGAGCCUAGGUCGGAUUAGCUAGUUGGUGGGGUAAAGGCUCACCAAGGCGACGAUCCGUAACUGGUCUGAGAGGAUGAUCAGUCACACUGGAACUGAGACACGGUCCAGACUCCUACGGGAGGCAGCAGUGGGGAAUAUUGGACAAUGGGCGAAAGCCUGAUCCAGCCAUGCCGCGUGUGUGAAGAAGGUCUUCGGAUUGUAAAGCACUUUAAGUUGGGAGGAAGGGUCGUUACCUAAUACGUGRCGAUUUUGACGUUACCGACAGAAUAAGCACCGGCUAACUCU
rnacentral:rRNA from 1 species